rnacentral:lncRNA from 1 species
CAGAGCCCGCCAGCCGCUAAGCCAGGGCCACACCUGGGGGUGAUUUCAUGCCUCACCCUCAGUAGGCACCUUGGCCUCUCUGGGCUAAUCUCUGGCUCCCUCGCACUAACUCUUGCUGUCACCCAGCUAACCCCUGCCUCGCCCUGGCUGCCCCAGGGGCUGUCCACUAACAGCCAGCCCCACCCAUCCGGGGGCUUCGGGCUCCCCGCCUGGCUUUGGCCGGCUCUUAAUCCACCUCUCCUUCCCCUUGACUAACUCACUCCUGCCUUCCUGGUCUGUUCCUUUCAGCAGAAACUAAUGGCUUGUGGAUUUCUUUCUGACUAACAACAGGUGUGACAGUCCUCGUUACCGUUACUGUUAACAGCUUGGAUGGCAGCAUGGCUGGG